rnacentral:misc_RNA from 1 species
GACACACGCCCAGCAGACCCCUUCUUUGAACGUGUGUGUGUGUGCGCGUGUGUGUUUUGAUCACCAUGACCGGCUCCAAGGCGCUCUGUCGGGCGUGCCUCACGGCUUACUCGGCCCUCAUGGUGAUUCUCACUGUAGUCUACCUGUGGUCUAAAUGGGGGGUGCACCGCAGCUUCGUCGAGGUGCUAGAGGAGACGAAGAGGCACAGCGACAGCAGUGCUGACGUCAACGGCGUCGCCCUCGCCGAGUCGGGCGGGGCCGAGUACGUACUUGUCGCGCUUUUCCACGUUGCGCACCUCAUUUGCCUUACGCUGUUUCUGUUCGGCUACAAGUCCGGCGUGAAAAUGGCGCUCGGCUGCGCGUUGCUUCUGGCGAGCGCCGUCAUGUACAUACUCGUCUACGGGUGUGUGACUCUACAAGGACGGCUGGAGCAGCAGCGCUCCUUCGCCUCCCCAAAGGCCGCUGCAGCGCACCCGCGCAAGCAGAAGGAGUCCCAAGCGUAUCAGGUGGAGGUGAGCUACACCCAUGACGCCAUCGCUGUCGCUGGUGCAGCAGCGUCCCCACGUAACGGGGGGCGGCGUGAGCUGAGUUGUGCUGCUGCCGAGAAGGUCAGUGGCGAGCCAGGCACUUGCGGCAUUGCCUCGGCGCAUGCUGAUGAGCCUCUCUCGUAUGUAGAACUCGGGUGGAUAUUACUGGAGGCCUUGGUUGACGUGCUGGCCAUCAUCGCCGUCGGCCCUGAGAGUCCCACAGGCGACGACGGCGUCCGUCUCCACCCCGACGGCACGCCCAUCUCCUCCGAGGCGCCGUUCACCGGGGUGCGUCGACUCAGCCUAUUGAUGUUGAACUUCGUUGGGUUUGCUUUGUCAAUGUGGGGUGUCAUGCUAUUCGAUGUCAGCCCUACCUCGGCACCGGCGCCGGCGCUGUCAACGCCAGCCGCCGCCAGUGGUAGUGUUAGGGGCCGUUGUGGCCGUAGCAACGGUGCUCAGGCCGCCAGACAAAGGGCGAGCGCUUCGGCAACCUUGGCAAACCCGGCAGCAGGCGCGGGGCAACCGUCUGCAGCUCCUGUAGAGGCGAAGAAGUAUCAGUAGGAACGUCGUCUUCUUUUCGGUGUCACCGUGUUCCUCCUGUCGCUGCCGCCAUUCCUGUUGCUGCGGGCAGAUGGGCGUGUCUGCGCCGGGUUGUGGACUUGAUUACUGCAUGCUGUACGCAAUGUACCCGUAUAUAUAUAUAUAGAGAGCACGUGCAAGAUGUACGUUAGCGCACAUUGUAUGAAGGUGUGGGUAGGUAUGAAUGCCGCAUCCUCACUCGAGUCGCCGCGACGCGCCUUGCCGCCGUGCGUGUAACUGAAUAUCGGCACCGAAG